GAGAUAUCAUCAUUUUUCUUCAGCAAAAACGCCAUGGGAGGUCUGAAAGCUGCUGGUUUUUCAUACUUUGACAUAUGUAGUACAUACGAGGUGUACAAAUCAAUGAUUCGUCAAUUCAGUGCUUAUUAAAGCACAUAAUCGGGAAGCACUCUCUCGAGCCAUAUAACGGGAAGCUCAUGUGAGCCAUGUAAUGGGAAGCUUAUCCGGGAUAUAUAACGGGAAGCUCAUAAGAGCCAUAUCCAGGAAGCUCGUGUGAGCCAAUAACGGGUAGCUCCGAAGAGCCAUUAAUCAAGAAGCUCCGGAUAGCUAUAUAUCAGGAAGUUCAAGCGAGCCAUAUCGGGAAUGUGACAUCCCUAAUUUGACUCUAGUCGGGAAGUGGUUUCAAGACCCCAAAACCGAGUCACACAAGAAAUUGAUUGUUAAAUUUCAUGUCUAUAUUAUGUUACAAUUUGUGUGUGAAAUUUUGAUGCUUUGAUUUUGUCAAUUGAAUGCAAAUUUAAUCAAAAA